CUAGCCGUAAACGAUGGAUGCUAGGUGUGGGGCCGACAGGCUCCGUGCCGUAGCUAACGCGAUAAGCAUCCCGCCUGGGGAGUACGGCCGCAAGGCUAAAACUCAAACGAAUUGACGGGGCCCCGCACAAGCAGCGGAGCGUGUGGUUUAAUUCGAUGUUACACGAAGAACCUUACCUGGGUUUGACAUGUACGUGGUAGGGAAGCGAAAGCGGACCGACCCUUCGGGGAGCGUACACAGGUGC
rnacentral:rRNA from 1 species